rnacentral:rRNA from 1 species
GACGAACGCUGGCGGCGUGCCUAACACAUGCAAGUCGUGCGAGAAAGUUCCUUCGGGAGCGAGUAAAGCGGCGCACGGGUGAGUAACACGUAGGUAACCUGCCCCCCAGUCUGGAACAACUAGAGGAAACUCUAGCUAAUGCCGGAUGAGACCACGAUCCCUUCGGGGGUUGCGGCCAAAGAUGGCCUCUACUUGUAAGCUAUCGCUGAGGGAUGGGCCUGCGGGCCAUUAGCUUGUUGGUGAGGUAACGGCUCACCAAGGCUGUGAUGGCUAGCUGGUCUGAGAGGAUGACCAGCCACACUGGGACUGAGACACGGCCCAGGACUCCUACGGGAGGCAGCAGUGGGGAAUAUUGCGCAAUGGGCGAAAGCCUGACGCAGCGACGCCGCGUGGGUGAUGAA